rnacentral:rRNA from 1 species
AGUGAACGCUGGCGGUAGGCCUAACACAUGCAAGUCGAGCGGAGCGGCGGACGGGUGAGUAAUGCCUAGGAAUCUGCCUGGUAGUGGUGGAUAACGUCCGGAAACGGGCGCUAAUACCGCAUACUAUCAGAUGAGCCUAGAUCGGAUUAGCUAGUUGGUGGGGUAAAGGCCUACCAAGCCGACGACCCGUAACUGGUCUGAGAGGAUGAUCAGUCACACUGGAACUGAGACACGGUACAGACUCCUACGGGAGGCAGCAGUGGGGAAUAUUGCACAAGGGGCGCAAGCCUGAUGCAGCCAUGCCGCGUGUAUGAAGAAGGCCUUCGGGUUGUAAAGUACUUUCAGCGGGGAGGCGUUACCCGCAGAAGAAGCACCGGCUAACUCCGUGCCAGCAGCCGCGGUAAUUC